AAAGAUAAAGCUGGUCAAGUGAGGACAAUAAAUAACAAUUCAAUGUUAGAAGUGGAAUUGAGCAACAAGAAUCCAAAAAACUUACAAUAAUACCAUUAAUUGUGUUCAACGUAAAAAUAAACAACAUACUUAAUGUGAAUGCACUGUAUGAUCCAGGAUCCAAUGUGUCACUGAUAAAUACAAAAAUAUUGAAAAUAAAACAGAAGGAAUGGAAUAAUAAACAUUCAGUUAAUCUAAACACAAUUAAUGGUAGUUCAAAAACAAAAGGUAUGGUUACAUUAAAAUUAAAAAUUUUAGACGUUGAAAAUGAAAUGAAUGUUUUUGUUAUAGAAAAUGAAGAAUUUAAGUAUGAUUUUUUUAGGGGGUUUGGACUGUUGUUUAAAAUUUAAUAUAAGUCACAAUGAGAGACUAGAGAUUAUACAUAACAAUGAUAGAAAUAUAGAAUCACCAGAAAAAGGUAAAUAUGUCAAAAUUCCUGAUGUACUAGGU
rnacentral:lncRNA from 1 species